GUGAGGAAUAUUGCGCAAUGGAGGCAACUCUGACGCAGCCAUGCCGCGUGCAGGAAGAAGGCGCUACGCGUUGUAAACUGCUUUUAACCGGGAAGAAACCCCAGGACGUGUCCUGGGUUGACGGUACCGGAGGAAUAAGCACCGGCUAACUUCGUGCCAGCAGCCGCGGUAAUACGAAGGGUGCACGCGUUAUCCGGAUACAUUGGGUUUAAAGGGUGCGUAGGCGGAGCGUUAAGUCAGUGGUGAAAUCCUGCAGCUUAACUGUAGACUUGCCAUUGAUACUGGCGCUCUUGAGUGCGCUUGAAGUGGGCGGAAUGUGCCGUGUAGCGGUGAAAUGCUUAGAUAUGGCACAGAACACCAAUUGCGAAGGCAGCUCACUAAGGCGAUACUGACGCUGAGGCACGAAAGCGUGGGGAUCGAACAGGAUUAGAUACCCCGGUAGUCC
rnacentral:rRNA from 1 species